CAGUCGGUGCAGAUCUUGGUGGUAGUAACAAUUAUUCAAAUGAGAACCUUUAAGGCAAAAGAGAGGAAAGGUUCAAUGUGAAGGGCACUUGCACAUGGGUUAGUCGAUCUUAACGGUCGGGGGAACCCUGACAGAUAGCGCAUUUCGCGCGUACUCUGAAAGGGAAUCGGGUUAAAGUUCCUAAACCAGGACGUGGUGAUUGACAGCAACGUUACAAAGUCUGGAGACGUCGGCGGGAGCCUCGGGAAGAGUUAUCUUGUCUGUUUAACAGCCUGCCCACCCUGGAAUCGACUCAGCCGGAGGUAGGGUCCAGCGGGUGGAAGAGCACCACACGUCACGUGGUGUCCGGUGCGCUCCUGGUGGCCCUUAAAAAUCCAGAGGACCGAAUAUCGUCCACGCCUGGUCGUACUCAUAACCGCAUCAGGUCUCCAAGGUGAACAUCCUCUGGUUGAUGGAACAAUGUAGGCAAGGGAAGUCAGAAAAAUGGAUCCGUAACUUCGGGAAAAGGAUUGGCUUUGAGUGCUGGGCACGGGGGUCCCAGUUACGACCCUGUCAGCUGUCGGUGGACUGCUCUAGCUGCUCCCGCGGCGAGAACGGGUUACUGCGUGCCGGCUGGGGGACGGACUGGGAACGGUUCCUUCGAGGGCCUUCCUGGGCGUCGAACAGCCAACUCUGAACUGGUACGGACAAGGGGAAUCCGACUGUUUACUUAAAAUAAAGCAUUGCGAUGGUCCCAACGGAUGUUUACGCAAUGUGAUUUCUUCCCUCUGCUCUGAAUGUCAAAGUGAAGAAAUUUAACCAACCGUGCGUAAAUGGCGGGAGUAACUUUGACUCUCUUAAGGUAGCCAAAUGCCUCAUCAUCUAAUUAGUGACACGUAUGAAUGGAUUAAUGAGAUUCCCACUGUCCCUGUCUACUAUCCAGCGAAACCACAACCAAGGGAAUAGGCUUGGCAGAAUCAGCGGGGAAAGAAGACCUUAUUGAGCUUGACACUAGUCCGACUUUGUGAAAUGACUUGAGAGGUGUAGUAUAAGUGGGAGACGAAAGGCAAAAGUGAAAUAUCACUACUUUCAACGUUAUUUUACUUAUUCUGUGAAUCGGAAGCGGGGCACUUCCCCUCUUUUUGGACCCAAAGCUCGCUUUACGGACCGAUCCGGGCAGAAGACAUUGUCUGGUGGGGAGUUUAGCUGGGGCGGCACAUCUGUUAAAAGAUAACGCAUGUGUCCUAAUAUGAGCUCAACAAGAACAUAAGGGUAAAAGCUCGUUUGAUUCUGAUUUCCUGUACGAUUACGAACCGUGAAAGCGUGGCCUAACAAUCCUUUAGACUUUCAGAAUUCGAAGCUAGAGGUGUCAGAAAAAUUACCACAGGGAUAACUGGUUUGUGGCAGCCAAGCGUUCAUAGCGACAUUUCUUUUUGAUCCUUCGAUGUCGGCUCUUCCUAUCAUUGUGAAGCAGAAUUCACCAAGUGUUGGAUUGUUCACCCAUUAAUAGGGAACGUGAGCUGGGUUUAGACCGUCGUGAGACACGUUAGUUUUACCCUACUAAUGACAGUGUCGCAAUAGUAAUUCAAUCUAGUAGGAGAGAAACCAUUGAUUUACACAAUUGGCCGUCACGCUUGGUUGAAAAGCCAGUGGCGCAAAGCUACCGUGUAUUGGGUUAUGACUGAACGCCUCAAAGUCAGAAUCCGAGAUAGAAGCGACUCAUGAGCCCACCAUCCGCUUUUCGACCCGCAGUAGGGGCCUAUGGCCCCCAUGGAACGUGUCAUUGGCUAAGUCGCCACGACAGAAGCAUCGCGGUGACCGUCUUUAAUACGCAAAGGGGUAUUGUAAGUGGC
rnacentral:rRNA from 1 species